CAAGUCGAACGAGAAAGCCGGAGCAAUCUGGUGAGUAAAGUGGCGUACGGGUGAGUAACACGUGGAUUAUCUACCUCCUUGUGGGGAAUAACCUUGGGAAACCGAGGAUAAUACCGCAUAAGUCCGUAAGGAGAAAGCAGCAAUGCGCUGGGAGAGGAGUCCGCGGCCGAUUAGCUAGUUGGCAGGGUAAAAGCCUACCAAGGCAGAGAUCGGUAGCCGGCCUGAGAGGGCACACGGCCACACUGGCACUGAAACACGGGCCAGACUCCUACGGGAGGCAGCAGUGGGGAAUCUUGCACAAUGGGGGAAACCCUGAUGCAGCGACGCCGCGUGAGCGAUGAAGCCCUUCGGGGUGUAAAGCUCUUUCGGCAGGGAAGAUUAUGACGGUACCUGCAGAAGCAGCUGCGGCUAACUACGUGCCAGCAGCCGCGGUAAUACGUAGGCAGCGAGCGUUGUUCGGAGUUACUGGGCGUAAAGGGUGUGUAGGCGGUUGCUUAAGUUUGGUGUGAAAUCUCCCGGCUCAACUGGGAGGGUGCGCCGAAUACUGAGUGACUAGAGUGCGGGAGAGGAAAGUGGAAUUCCUGGUGUAGCGGUGAAAUGCGUAGAUAUCAGGAGGAACACCGGUGGUGUAGACGGCUUUCUGGACCGUAACUGACGCUGAGACACGAAAGCGUGGGUAGCAAACAGGAUUAGAUACCCUGGUAGUCCACGCCCUAAACGAUGCAUAUUUGGUGUGGGUCAUUCAGUUGAUCCGUGCCGGAGCUAACGCGUUAAAUAUGCCGCCUGGGGAGUACAGUCGCAAGGCUGAAACUCAAAGGAAUUGACGGGGGCCCGCACAAGCGGUGGAGCAUGUGGUUCAAUU
rnacentral:rRNA from 1 species